GACGAACGCUGGCGGCGUGCUUAACACAUGCAAGUCGAACGGAAAGGCCCUGCUUUUGUGGGGUGCUCGAGUGGCGAACGGGGGAGUAACACGUGAGUAACCUGCCCUUGACUUUGGGAUAACUUCAGGAAACUGGGGCUAAUACCGCAUAGGAUCUCCUGCUGCAUGGGGGGGGUUGGAAAGUUUCGGCUUUUGGGGAUGGACUAGGGGCUUAUGAGCUUGUUGGUGGGGUAGUGACUUACCAAGGCUGUGACGGGUAGACCGCCUGAGAGGGUGGUCGGCCGCAUUGGAGCGUAGACACGGUCAUGAGGACUACGAUAGGGAGCAGUAGGGUACGGGAGGCAGUGGUGGAGAGCCUUGCACAGUGGGCGGAAGCCUGAUGCGAAGACGUUGGGAGCGUGAUGACGUGUUUCGGGGUAUGAACAGCUGUGGCCGGUGACGAAGCGUUAGUGACGGUAAUGGAUAAAGAAGCAACGGCUAACUACGUG
rnacentral:rRNA from 1 species